AGGCUAAAUUGUAUGGAAUUAUGCUGAAUGUUUGCAUUAAUAGUGGUACUGUAAUUUCUGUAUUUAAAUGGAACUGAUCACCACUAAAUGAGUCAAUCCAUCCAUCAAUCAAUCAAUCAAUCAAUCAAAAACGUCAAUAUUUAACUUCCUCUAUAUCAUACAACUUUUCUGGUGAGUGAAGCAACACGUAAAAUACACAUAAAAUAGUAGUUUUUGAAUGGUUUUAAGUGUAAGUGCAGUUGUUAUUCAUGUGCAGAAGUGUUCACAGCAUACUUUUGAAUGACCUUUAUGUCUGUUUUGGUUGAUGUUGAAUCACUGGGCUAGCUGAGAAGAUGACAAGUUCUGUCUCUGCUAGGUUGAGUUGAAGGUGAUGUUCUUUCACUCAGGCUGCGAGACGUCUGCCAGUCCAUGAUCUGUGCCCUGGCUUUUGUGGAAAAUAUGUCCAUCCUGGAGGCUGAGGAGAAAUUUCUGCAAGGACCUUUCAUUUACUUAAGUGAUCGGGAACAUUUUGAAAUGAGGACUGAACAACAGUUAAAAGAGAGUCAUCAAGAGGAAUCAACC